rnacentral:rRNA from 1 species
UACGUAGGGUGCAAGCGUUAAUCGGAAUUACUGGGCGUAAAGCGUGCGCAGGCGGCUAUGCAAGACAGAUGUGAAAUCCCCGGGCUCAACCUGGGAACUGCAUUUGUGACUGCAUAGCUAGAGUACGGUAGAGGGGGAUGGAAUUCCGCGUGUAGCAGUGAAAUGCGUAGAUAUGCGGAGGAACACCGAUGGCGAAGGCAAUCCCCUGGGCCUGUACUGACGCUCAUGCACGAAAGCGUGGGGAG